AGUGAACGCUGGCGGCGUGCUUAACACAUGCAAGUCGAACGAGAACGGAUUAUAGCUUGCUAUAAUUGUCAGCUAAGUGGCGCACGGGUGAGUAAUGUAUAGGUAAUAUGCCUCUUACUAAGGGAUAACAAAUGGAAACGUUUGCUAAUACCUUAUACUCCUUAUUAACAUAAGUUAAUAAGGGAAAGAUUUAUUGGUAAGAGAUUAGCCUGUAUUGUAUCAGUUAGUUGGUGGGGUAAUGGCUUACCAAGACUAUGACACAUAACUGGUUUGAGAGGGUGAUCAGUCACACUGGAACUGAGACACGGUCCAGACUCCUACGAGAGGCAGCAGUGGGGAAUAUUGCACAAUGGACGAAAGUCUGAUGCAGCAACGCCGCGUGGAGGAUGACACAUUUCGGUGCGUAAACUCCUUUUAUAUGAGAAGAUAAUGACGGUAUUAUAUGAAUAAGCACCGGCUAACUCCGUGCCAGCAGCCGCCGCCG
rnacentral:rRNA from 1 species